rnacentral:rRNA from 1 species
GAUGAACGCUGGCGGUGUGCCUAAUACAUGCAAGUCGAGCGAACAGACGAGGAGCUUACUCCUCUGACGUUAGCGGCGGACGGGUGAGUAACACGUGGAUAACCUACCUAUAAGACUGGGAUAACUUCGGGAAACCGGAGCUAAUACCGGAUAACAUGUUGAACCGCAUGGUUCAACAGUGAAAGACGGUCUUGCUGUCACUUAUAGAUGGAUCCGCGUCGCAUGAGCUAGUUGGUAAGGUAACGGCUUACAAAGGCAACGAUGCGUAGCCGACCUGAGAGGGUGAUCGGCCACACUGGAACUGAGACACGGUCCAGACUCCUACGGGAGGCAGCAGUAGGGAAUCUUCCGCAAUGGGCGAAAGCCUGACGGAGCAACGCCGCGUGAGUGAAGAAGGUCUUCGGAUCGUAAAACUAUGUUAGUAGGGAAGAACAAAUGUGUAAGUAACUAUGCACGUCUUGACGGUACCUAGUCAGAAAGCCACGGCUAACUACGUG